GCCGCAGUAGCUCAGUGGUAGAGCGCAUCAUUGGUAAUGAUGAGGUCGGCAGUUCAAUCCUGCCUUGCGGCACCA
rnacentral:tRNA from 2 species